AUUGAACGCUGGCGGCAGGCUUAACACAUGCAAGUCGAGCGGAGAUGAGGUGCUUGCACCUUAUCUUAGCGGCGGACGGGUGAGUAAUGCUUAGGAAUCUGCCUAUUAGUGGGGGACAACAUUCCGAAAGGAAUGCUAAUACCGCAUACGCCCUACGGGGGAAAGCAGGGGAUCUUCGGACCUGGCGCUAAUAGAUGAGCCUAAGUCGGAGUAGCUAGUUGGUGGGGUAAAGGCCUACCAAGGCGACGAUCUGUAGCGGGUCUGAGAGGAUGAUCCGCCACACUGGGACUGAGACACGGCCCAGACUCCUACGGGAGGCAGCAGUGGGGAAUAUUGGACAAUGGGCGGAAGCCUGAUCCAGCCAUGCCGCGUGUGUGAAGAAGGCCUUUUGGUUGUAAAGCACUUUAAGCGAGGAGGAGGCUACCUGGAUUAAUACUCUAGGAUAGUGGACGUUACUCGCAGAAUAAGCACCGGCUAACUCUGUGCCAGCCGCCGCGGUAAAAC
rnacentral:rRNA from 1 species